AUCAUCGUUUCUUUGCAAAAUCACUGUCGAUCCUCCAAGAUUUCCCUUCGAGUUUUGUCUGGUUCUUACCGAAAAAGAUUGAGGUUUCCUUCUUUUCGGCAUUGACGGACCAAGGAUCCACUCUUAUUUUGUGGGCCAGGUGUUUUCGGCUGGACUUCCAGGCUGACCCACAAGCUGCGUUCUUUUGAUCAGCGGCCCAAUACGUAUGUUCUAUUUGAACUCCAUUAAUGUCAUUUUAUAUAUAUGGCCACUUGUGAUGCUGCACCACUGCCGACUACUGCAACCUCUGUUCUUCCACAAGAUUAAAGAGGGUGAUUCCACAGCCGACUACUGCAAGCUCCCUUCUUCCACAAGACUAAAGAGCGUCAUUCCACUGCCACCCUCCGUAUAUAUGUGCACCAAACACAAAGGUUACAUCAUUAACAAUGUCUUAAUUGCAACACGACAGUAACCCCACGAUAGUCACUCCAUUAUUUAAUUAAGCAUAAGAAGAUCUAAGAAAUGCCACCUUUUGUUAAAUAAUAUUUUCAAGGUAAAAAUGGUUUAGAUUCUCUUAAUUGAUCAUUUAUCACUCAACUUUGAAGAAA